rnacentral:rRNA from 1 species
GCGUUUUAGGGGAAACUGCGGACGGCUCAUUAGAGCAGAUGUCAUGUAUUCGGAAAAUCUUAUUGGAUAACUGCGUCAAAAAGUGGAGCUAAUACAUGCGAUUAAACCCUGACUCCCGAAAGGGUGCAAUUAUUAGAGCAAAUCAAUCAUUUUCGGAUGUAGUUUGCUGACUCUGAAUAACGGCAGCAUAUCGGCGGCUUGUUCGCCGAUAAUCCGAAAAAGUGUCUGCCCUAUCAACCUGAUGGUAGUCUAUUAGUCUACCAUGGUUAUUACGGGUAACGGAGAAUAAGGGUUCGACUCCGGAGAGGGAGCCUUAGAAACGGGUACCACAUCCAAGGAAGGCAGCAGGCGCGAAACUUAUCCAAUCUUGAAUAGAUGAGAUAGUGACUAAAAAUAAAAAGACCAUUCCUAUGGAACGGUUAUUUCAAUGAGUUGAUCAUAAACCUUUUUUCGAGUAUCAAGUGGAGGGCAAGUCUGGUGCCAGCAGCCGCGGUAAUUCCAGCUCCACUAGUGUAAAUCGUCAUUGCUGCGGUUAAAAAGCUCGUAGUUGGAUCUGAGUUGCAUGCAAUGAUUCGCCUUUGGCGUUAAUCAUUGUUGUGACUAUUUGCUGGUUUUCUAUUGAAAUUUCGAUUUCUUUAGUGGCUAGCGAGUUUACUUUGAAUAAAUUAGAGUGCUCAGAACAAGCGUUUGCUUGAAUGGUCGAUCAUGGAAUAAUAAAAGAGGACUUCGGUUCUAUUUAUUGGUUCAGGAACUGAAGUAAUGAUUAAGAGGGACAAUUCGGGGGCAUUCGUAUCCCUGCGCGAGAGGUGAAAUUCGUGGACCGCAGGGGGACGCCCUAAAGCGAAAGCAUUUGCCAAGAAUGUCUUCAUUAAUCAAGAACGAAAGUCAGAGGUUCGAAGGCGAUUAGAUACCGCCCUAGUUCUGACCGUAAACUAUGCCAUCUAGCGAUCCGAUGGGGUAUUGUUGCCUUGUCGAGGAGCUUCCCGGAAACGAAAGUCUUUCGGUUCCUGGGGUAGUAUGGUUGCAAAGCUGAAACUUAAAGAAAUUGACGGAAUGGCACCACCAGGAGUGGAGCCUGCGGCUUAAUUUGACUCAACACGGGAAAACUCACCCGGCCCGGACACCGUAAGGAUUGACAGAUUGAAAGCUCUUUCUCGAUUUGGUGGUUGGUGGUGCAUGGCCGUUCUUAGUUGGUGGAGCGAUUUGUCUGGUUUAUUCCGAUAACGAGCGAGACUCUAGCCUGCUAAAUAGUGACUAGAUUAUUGUGUCUAGUCUACUUCUUAGAGGGAUAAGCGGUGCUUAGCCGCACGAGAUUGAGCGAUAACAGGUCUGUGAUGCCCUUAGAUGUCCGGGGCUGCACGCGCGCUACAAUGGAAGAAUCAGCUGGCCUAUCCAUUGCCGAAAGGUAUUGGUAAACCGUUGAAACUCUUCCGUGACCGGGAUAGGGAAUUGUAAUUAUUUCCCUUGAACGAGGAAUUCCUAGUAAGUGUGAGUCAUCAGCUCACGCUGAUUACGUCCCUGCCAUUUGUACACACCGCCCGUCGCUGUCCGGGACUGAGCUGUCUCGAGAGGACUGCGGACUACUGUAUUGAGGCCUUCAGGUCGCGAUAUGGCGGGAAACAGUUCAAUCGCAAUGGCUUGAACCGGGUAAAAGUCGUAACAAGGUAUCUGUAGGUGAACCUGCAGAUGGAUCAUCGCUAAAACCACCACAAAACAAACUCAUCAUCAUUAUACGUGAUGUGAUGUGUGGAUGGUUAAUGGAGGAAUGAUCAACGAGAAACCAACAUGCGUCAAUAU